rnacentral:lncRNA from 1 species
UCAGGUCAACUGUGGGUUGACUUUGACCUAGAGUUGACUUUGACCGAGAGUUGACUUUGACCGAGGGUUGACCUUGACCGAGAGUUGACUUUGACCAAGGGUAAAAGAGUCAUUUUACCCAGUGCAGUGUUUAGUAUUUGAUUGAGUGUGUUUAUGGACUUGUAGCCGGGGAGAUACCGGAGCAGCAGCAGUUAGCUUCCAGAGCCAUACACACAGCAGCCAGUUCACGAGGUGAGUUUCCUUCCAGUAGGAAUGGGUCUAAGGCCACAAUGCCGACCCGUUUAGCUAGUAGUAGUAUCCGGAUUUUGAUCCGAUGCAGUAGUUAGCAUGUUUGAUGCCUUCGUGGCUCAGACAGGAGUUAUGUGUGAUCAUGCUAGUGAUAUGUUUAUGCUAUGUUCAGUCAGCUUCGGACUUCGGUCCGAUGUCAGCUUCGGACUUCGGUCCGAUGUCAGCUUCGGACUUCGGUUCGAUGUAGGGGACAAGGUCCCAGUCAGCUUCGGAUUUCGGUCCGAUGUCAGCUUCGGACUUCGGUCCGAUGGAGGGGGCAAGGCCCCAGUCAGUUAGCUUCGGGCUUCGGUCCGAUGUAGGGGACAAGGUCCCAGUCAGUCAGCUUCGGACUUCGGUUCGAUGGAGGGGGCAAGGCCCCAGUAUGUGCUUGAUAUGUUAUUGUAUG